rnacentral:lncRNA from 1 species
UGGGGUUUAGAUACCCUGAGCUUGGGAGAGCUCUUCUUGUAAUAUGAUUACUUUUUAUACUAUAGGAUUUUAUUUUUAAUGUCUUUGUGUAUUUAAUUAUUUUAAAAUUAUGAUUACUUUUGCUGUAUUUAAUAUGAAGUUUUUUUUUAACGCUCUUUUUCAUCCUACCAAAAUUUAGCUUGCCAUCCCAUCAAAAUAGAUAAAUCCAAAAAGCCCAUUUUGGAUAAGUAUAAUAUUUUCAAAGUUUCUAAGUUGAAUAAACUCUUUACUUUCCACUGAAACUUUUUUUUAUUGUUUUGAGCCUAAACAUGAACAAAUUCUUUUUUAAACAUAUGUGUAUUUAAAUAAGCAACACUUCAUAUCUUUUCUUCAUAAAGUGAAAUAUUUCCUUAAUGCUAACACAACCCUAGUCACUUCUCUGCCAAAGCAAACAGAAGAAUGAACGCUUUAUUAAUCAUCCGUAACUAACGUGGGUACACAGAGAAGAAAAUCAAAUCUGUUUUUGACAAGAACCUUUUGAUGGAAUUAGAAAGAGAGAGAGAGAGAGAGGGAGAGAGAGAGAGAGAGAGCGCAAGAGAGCACCGUUCUUUCUCUUCUCCUGAAGAGAGACUUCACCUCCCCGUGGGUCUCUUGUCAUUUGUGAACAUAAAGGAAGGUUAGGUCUUUAUUUUCACUGCUGCACACAAAUGGCAACAAGUCAAAACUUGGAAGAACUUUAAAUAAAAGUGGCAUUCUCCUGCCUCCUCCCUUCCUUCCAGCUCCAGCUCCACAUCAUAGAGGUGUAGCUUUUCAUCCCAGUUCCAGUUCUCUUCUCCUCCGUUGUAGCUCUGAAGGACGCCUAUUUAGUGAGUUGGUAACCUCACAUAACAGUUACUGCAUUUCUGGUUCAGGUUUCACAUGCCUGCCUGGAAGCAUUUCAAAAAUAAAAAUAGGUCACAAGGAGGUGUUCUCUGAUGAUUUCUUCACCCCACCGUCUUCCUUCCUCCGACUCCUCCAGGGUUCAACACUGGUUGCCACCAGGCUCACUGCUGCUCCAAGCUCAGCCUCUCCUAUGAUCCCGCACUCACUCUCCACACCCACUCUCCGACUUCUCCACAGUCCUCAUACUCAAAUCUACUUUAUAUGUAUAUUUUGAGGCUUCUUUGUUAUUAGAGUUUGUAUUAAUAUAGAGUCAGCCUAGGCAAACAUUAUAUUUUCUUCUUAAAGAUGUAGAAAAUUCACAGAAAAAUAAAAAUAUGCGUUGGCCGGAUAUUCUGGCACAUACUGAUAGCCCUAGCUCCUGGGAGGGCCGGGGCUAGGUUUGUGACUUUGAAACCAGCCUGGACUAUCUAAGGGCCCUGUGAGAAGACAAACAUCAAGAAAAACAAAUCUUUAUAGGCUCAAGUAAUUCCUUCUGGUUUUCCCUUGUUUGGUUUUUCUACUGUGGGUCAGUGGUCUUUGAUAAAAACUAGGCUUCCUACCCUUCUUUUAUGGGUAGGAAUAAGAAUUUUGACUUUAAAAAGCUGAAAGAAUAGGCAAAUAGAGCAGUCUUGAUUUUCUGUGCAAACAAAUUUACCCUUUCUUUAAAAGACUAUUAAAAGCAACGUAACAGAGAUGAGUUGUGUUACAGUUGUCUUCUCUGCCCUUCUGCCCCUUCUUGGCUCCUCUGGGCCUGCCCCCUCUGUUCUCGCCAUACCGCUUCAAGACAACCCAUCCCUCCAGCCAUCUUUUCCUAGGAGAUAAUCUCAAUUUAAAAUGGUAAUCAGGAUAAAAAUGGAACUCGGCAUUUAAUUUUAGAAUGAACCGUUUACUAGAAUAUAUCAAUUACUUCAGAGAUUCCUGUACUGAUUUUAGUCCAUUUUAAACAGCUUGUUUGGGGCCCUGCCUGGAAAUAAUCAUGAAACUGUGUGACUGUCUAAACCUAAGUCUGUCUUCUCAGCAUUUUAUGAAUUAGGUUUGUUAACUUCUGUCACUCUGGAAAGUCGUGUAUCUGUAGUUAGGUUGGAAUGCCCAAUUACACAGCAGGCAUAUUAGACUGUGGGUCAUAAAAAUCUGUAACUAGGAGGUAUUCCAAGACUGUCGAAAGGCUUGGCCUUCUGAGGCUGCCCAACUGUGCCCUGAUGAACUGACUUCUCCUUAGUGUAGAAUUUCCUGUUUUCUGCCCAGUCAACUAAAAAAUAAGCACGCUUGUGUGUUGACUUUAGUCUCCAGUCAGUCUUACCGGAGUUGAAGGUUUCACUCUUUUUCAGAAUAUAAUAAACAGUAUACUG